rnacentral:tRNA from 1 species
GGUAAGGUGUCCGAAAUAGGUGCCGAGUUGUAGCCUCGGUUAUAAAGGCAGCGCGCCUUUUCUUAUCA